GGGCGCGAACAGGUUUCGACAUGUAUCUGGAGUAACAGCUCAAGCAUAACGAACGACUGGCGUAACUGGUCAAAAUUAAAUUUAACUGCAGAUAGUAGAUCUGAACUAGCACUCGCUGCGUAAGUCGCACAGUGCAUGUCCACUUUAGUUUCGCUAUUGACUAAUUUUGGGCAUCAAUCAAAUAGCGGAGCAAGUAUUGUGAGCAUUUGAGCAUGCUUGUGACUACAAUCAGAUGCGGAUUGUUUGGUUUUUUGUUUAUUGGUUUCAAACAUAUCCUUCUUCAAAAAAUAAACUAAUUAUGUAGAAAGGUUGUUGCAGGAUGCAUGGACGCGGGUUCAAUUCCCGCCGUGUCCACCA
rnacentral:tmRNA from 1 species